UCAAGGGUGUGCCGACCUCGGCGCUGAGGUGCAGGUGGGCGUUCAAAGGUGUGCCGGGCAUCGCCACUGACGGGUGUUCAUUCGACUGCAUGAACUCGAGCCUACUGGUGGCCGUCGUAGAAUUUUGUGUUUGUGUGUACAUUGAUUAAGCUCCGCCACUCUCCUGCAGUACGUGCAUGUUUGUAGUGGAGGCAUGCCAUCACUUGAUCAUGAGCUUGCUGGAUCACCUUCACUUCACUGAUCUACAUGUGUGGCUUGGAGCUAGUUUGUUUGAGUGUUAUAUGAAUACCAACGUCUCUAUAUAAUCCAUCCGACGAUAUAUUUUAAUUACGGCCAA
rnacentral:lncRNA from 1 species